UAGGGAAUCUUCGGCAAUGGACGAAAGUCUGACCGAGCAACGCCGCGUGAGUGAAGAAGGCUUUCGGAUUGUAAAUCUCUGUCGUUAGAGAAGAACAAGGACGUUAGUAACUGAACGUCCCCUGACGGUAUCUAACCAGAAAGCCACGGCUAACUACGUGCCAGCAGCCGCGGUAAUACGCAGGUGGCAAGCGUUCUCCGGAUUUAUUGGGCGUAAAGCGAGCGCAGGCGGUUUCUUACGUCUUAUGUGAAAGCCCCGGGCUCAAGCGGGGAAGGUCAUUGGAAACUGGGAGGCUUGAGUGCGGAAGAGGAGAGUGGAAUUCCAUGUGUAGCGGUGAAAUGCGUAGAUAUAUGGAGGAACACCAGUGGCGAAGGCGGCUCUCUGGUCUGUAACUGACGCUGAGGCUCGAAAGCGUGGGGAGCAAACAGG
rnacentral:rRNA from 1 species